CCUACGGGAGGCAGCAGUGGGGAAUAUUGGUCAAUGGACGAGAGUCUGAACCAGCCAAGUAGCGUGAAGGAUGACUGCCCUAUGGGUUGUAAACUUCUUUUAUAUGGGAAUAAAACGUUCCACGUGUGGGAUUUUGUAUGUACCAUAUGAAUAAGGAUCGGCUAACUCCGUGCCAGCAGCCGCGGUAAUACGGAGGAUCCGAGCGUUAUCCGGAUUUAUUGGGUUUAAAGGGAGCGUAGGUGGAUUGUUAAGUCAGUUGUGAAAGUUUGCGGCUGAACCGUAAAAUUGCAGUUGAAACUGGCAGUCUUGAGUACAGUAGAGGUGGGCGGAAUUCGUGGUGUAGCGGUGAAAUGCUUAGAUAUCACGAAGAACUCCGAUUGCGAAGGCAGUUCACUGGACUGCAACUGACACUGAGGCUCGAAAGUGUGGGUAUCAAACAGGAUUAGAUACCCUAGUAG
rnacentral:rRNA from 1 species